GAGACCCGGCGGAGUAGGCGAGACACAAAACCACGUGGCCCGCGCAUUUCUCUCUCGCGCGCUCUCUCUCUCGCGCGCGCGCGCACGUACACACACAUGGCAAUGGGUGUCGAAAAAGGUGUCGUGUGGACAAUAUAAAGCAGGAGGAAAAUGACGCUCGACGACGACAAGUAGAACCUGACGGGGGAACGUCUCUUUCACUCGGCGGACCAAAUAUUUCAAACAGCGCCCUCUGCAGAAGCUGAUGUUACUGUGAGUGGGUCCUAUUGGAG